rnacentral:misc_RNA from 1 species
GAUGAAGAACGCUAGUGAAAUGCGAUACGUAAUGUGAAUUGCAGAAUUCAGUGAAUCAUCGAGUCUUUGAACGCACAUUGCGCCCUCUGGUAUUCCGGAGGGCAUGCCUGUCCGAGCGUCAUUGCUGCCCUCAAGCACGGCUUGUGUGUUGGGCCCCGCCCCCCGAUCCCGGGGGGCGGGCCCGAAAGGCAGCGGCGGCACCGCGUCCGGUCCUCGAGCGUAUGGGGCUUUGUCACCCGCUCUGUAGGCCCGGCCGGCGCUUGCCGAUCAACCAAACUUUUUUCCAGGUUGACCUCGGAUCAGGUAGGGAUACCCGCUGAACUUAAGCAUAUCAAUAAGCGGAGGA